rnacentral:lncRNA from 1 species
GGCGCUGCCCCGUGGGCCAUGGUUUACUGCUUGCUUGCGGCUCCCGCAGGGCGCGCGCGGCGUUGGGCGGGACGGAAGCGACGUACGGUGGGGGCUCCACUCCACGCAUCGGUGCCGUGCGCCGGCGUCCGCGCGCGGCGGCUCCGGACCUCCGGUGCGCCUACCUUGGUCUCGCGCGCUCCCCCCUCGUGCACGCACGGGGCCGCGUGCAAGGCCCUCAGCCCGCGACGUUCCCGUGCUACUAUACCGCUCGGCGACUCUCGACUACUCCAGCUUAGUUUUUUAUCUUCUGCGCCAGCUUUCUUUGGAGAAAU